rnacentral:lncRNA from 1 species
AACCUGCCGGCUCCCAUCCCACAACGUAGAGCUACUUCCGGUGGGGCUCCGUCACUCAAAUGGAGAAGAACCAGCACCAACAUGGGAGGCUUCCCAUGUUACAUAAGGAUCAACAGGAGAAGCCGGGCAGCAGAGGCUCGUGUGAUAAGAGAGGCAGGAAGCAAGAGCUUCCAUGGGAAUGGCGUGGUUUCAUCUCCUGGGUGGAGGCCCCUCCCCCAUCACCAACAGACGCUCCAAGACCAGAGCAACGGGGAGAGCCAGGGAGGCAGGUCCAUCUUGUCUCCCUUUGCCAUAGCAACAUGC